rnacentral:rRNA from 1 species
UACGUAGGGUGCAAGCGUUGUCCGGAAUUAUUGGGCGUAGAGAGCUCGUAGGCGGUUUGUCGCGUCUGCUGUGAAAACCCGAGGCUCAACCUCGGGCCUGCAGUGGGUACGGGCAGACUAGAGUGCGGUAGGGGAGAUUGGAAUUCCUGGUGUAGCGGUGGAAUGCGCAGAUAUCAGGAGGAACACCGAUGGCGAAGGCAGAUCUCUGGGCCGUAACUGACGCUGAGGAGCGAAAGCAUGGGGAGCGAACAGG